rnacentral:rRNA from 1 species
GAUCAUGGCUCGGGAUGAACGCUGGCGGCGUGCUUAACACAUGCAAGUCGAACGAAGCACCUUGAUUUGAUUCUUCGGAUGAAGAUCCUGGUGACUGAGUGGCGGACGGGUGAGUAACGCGUGGGUAACCUGCCUCAUACAGGGGGAUAACAGUUAGAAAUGACUGCUAAUACCGCAUAAGACCACAGCACCGCAUGGUGCAGGGGUAAAAACUCCGGUGGUAUGAGGUGGACCCGCGU